rnacentral:rRNA from 1 species
GACGAACCGUGCGAACGUUGUUCGGAAUCACUGGGCCUAAAGGGCGCGUAGGCGGCUUUUCAAGUCAGGGGUGAAAUCCGGCAGCUCAACUGUCGAAGUGCCCUUGAUACUGAUGAGCUCGAGGGAGGUAGGGGUAUGUGGAACUUCCGGUGGAGCGGUGAAAUGCGUUGAUAUCGGAAAGAACACCAACGGCGAAAGCACUCUGCUGGGCCGACACUGACACUGAGAGACGAAAGCUAGGGGAGCAAAUGGG